rnacentral:rRNA from 1 species
UAAUACAGAGGUCCCAAGCGUUGUUCGGAUUCACUGGGCGUAAAGGGUGCGUAGGUGGUAGGGUAAGUCUGAUGUGAAAUCUCCGAGCUUAACUCGGAAAUGGCAUUGGAUACUAUUCUGCUGGAGGGUUGGAGGGGAGACUGGAAUUCUCGGUGUAGCAGUGAAAUGCGUAGAUAUCGAGAGGAACACCAGUGGCGAAAGCGAGUCUCUGGACAACUCCUGACACUGAGGCACGAAAGCUAGGGGAGCAAACAGGAUUAGAUACCCUGGUAGUCCUAGCCGUAAACGGUGCGCAUUUGCUGUGAGCGGAAUCGACCCCGUUCGUGGCGAAGCUAACGCGUUAAAUGCGCCGCCUGGGGAGUACGGU